rnacentral:rRNA from 1 species
GGGAGUGCUCGACAAGAGAGCCGGAACACAGGUGCUGCAUGGCUGUCGUCAGCUCGUGUCGUGAGAUGUUGGGUUAAGUCCCGCAACGAGCGCAACCCUUGCCAUUAGUUGCUACGAAAGGGCACUCUAAUGGGACUGCCGGUGACAAACCGGAGGAAGGUGGGGAUGACGUCAAGUCCUCAUGGCCCUUAUAGGUGGGGCUACACACGUCAUACAAUGGCCGGUACAGAGGGUAGCCAACCCGCGAGGGGGAGCCAAUCCCACAAAGCCGGUCGUAGUCCGGAUCGCAGUCUGCAACUCGACUGCGUGAAGUCGGAAUCGCUAGUAAUCGCGGAUCAGCAUGUCGCGGUGAAUACGUUCCCGGGUCUU